AAGCAACGCGAAGAACCUUACCAGGCCUUGACAUGCAGAGAACUUUCCAGAGAUGGAUUGGUGCCUUCGGGAACUCUGACACAGGUGCUGCAUGGCUGUCGUCAGCUCGUGUCGUGAGAUGUUGGGUUAAGUCCGUAACGAGCGCAACCCUUGUCCUUAGUUACCAGCACGUUAUGGUGGGCACUCUAAGGAGACUACCGGUGACAAACCGGAGGAAGGUGGGGAGUGACGUCAAGUCAUCAUGGCCCUUACGGCCUGGGCUACACACGUGCUACAAUGGUCGGUACAAAGGGUUGCCAAGCCGCGAGGUGGAGCUAAUCCCAUAAAGCCGAAUCGUAGUCCGGAUCGCAGUCUGCAACUCGACUGCGUGAAGUCGGAAUCGCUAGUAAUCGUGAAUCAGAAUGUCACGGUGAAUACGUUCCCGGGCCUU
rnacentral:rRNA from 1 species